rnacentral:rRNA from 1 species
GUGAAGCCGCGAAUGGCUCAUUACAACAGCCACUGUUUACUUGAUCUUGAUUAUCCUACUUGGAUAACUGUGGUAAUUCUAGAGCUAAUACACGCAAUAAAGCUCCGACCUUACGGGACGAGCGCAUUUAUUAGACCAAAACCAAUCGGGCCUCGGCCUGAACGGUGGUGACUCUGAAUAACUGAGCUGAUCGCAUGGUCUUUGUACCGGCGACGCAUCUUUCAAGUGUCUGCCUUAUCAACUUUCGAUGGUAGUUUAUGUGCCUACCAUGGUUGUUACGGGUAACGGAGAAUAAGGGUUCGACUCCGGAGAGGGAGCCUGAGAAACGGCUACCACAUCCAAGGAAGGCAGCAGGCGCGCAAAUUACCCACUCUCGGCACGAGGAGGUAGUGACGAAAAAUAACGAGGCGGUUCUCUAAGAGGCCCGCUAUCGGAAUGGGUACAAUUUAAACCCUUUAACGAGGACCUAUGAGAGGGCAAGUCUGGUGCCAGCAGCCGCGGUAAUUCCAGCUCUCAAGGUGUA